UGAGAAAGUAAGGGUUUUUGGUUCAGAUUAAGUGAGUGAAAUGAGAGAAUAGAUAGAUAUGUAUUUAAUAUGGAGAGGAAGAGUUGGAUCAAGAGAAGUUGGAAGAAAAGGAAAAUUGGACCUAAGAAGAAUAAAGAAGAUUGAGUGAGAAAUAAUAGAAGAAGAAUAGAGAAGAUGGAGUGAGAAGCAAUAGUGAAGGUGGAGCAAGAAACAAUAGAGAAGAAGGAUGAUGCAGAGAGGCGGAAGUUACUUGGUUUUGUGUAUAGAAAAACCCUACCAUUGAAGUUUUCUUCUUCCUCUUGUAUAUAGGUUUUCUAUUCUAAAGCAAUGUUGACUUUUUUUUUUAAGUUUUUUUUUUUAAUUUG
rnacentral:misc_RNA from 1 species